UGAUGAUGUUAUUACAAUUAACCAGAGCAUUUCCUUUAAGAACAAAAUAAUUUGCACAUUUCGUACUGCGGCGUGCAAAUAUUUCUCUUUGGUCCAAUACAACAAUAACAGAAAUGGACCGGGAGUCGUGGACACACGGGACUAGGUACACAAAUGCCGCUUAUCGCAUCCGUGCCUGAAUCAUGAAUAUUGGAAUUUGUUUUCAUCAUCAUAGAUUUUGUUGUUCGAUUGUCGUUGUCGUUCGUACAAAUACCUACAUAAGAAACAUGUCAAAACAAAAAUAUAUUAAUAUUAUAGAUAUUGUCUAUAAAACAAAGAGAGAAUAUCCUUAUGUCGAAGAAGUCCUAACCUAGAUUAAAAAUGGAGAAAAAGAUGAGGAAAUUUAACAAUUGCUUAUUGAUAGACAUCUUCAAAUGAUG
rnacentral:lncRNA from 1 species